rnacentral:rRNA from 1 species
AUUGAACGCUGGCGGCAGGCCUAACACAUGCAAGUCGAGCGGAGCGGCGGACGGGUGAGUAAUGCCUAGGAAUCUGCCUGGUAGUGGGGGAUAACGUCCGGAAACGGGCGCUAAUACCGCUUACUACCAGAUGAGCCUAGGUCGGAUUAGCUAGUUGGUGGGGUAAAGGCCUACCAAGGCGACGAGCCGUAACUGGUCUGAGAGGAUGAUCAGUCAGACGUGAAAUUAGACACGGUCCAGACUCCUACGGAAGGCAGCCGUGGGGAAUAUUGGACAAUGGGCGAAAGCCUGACCCAGCCCUGCGGCGUGUGUGAAGAAGGUCUUCGGAUUGUAAGCCACUUUAAGUUGGGAGGCGUUACCAACAGAAUAAGCACCGGCUAACUUCGUGCCAGCAGCCGCGGUGAUAC